GCAGUCGCCGCGGUAAUACAGAGGGUGCGAGCGUUAAUCGGAUUUACUGGGCGUAAAGCGUGCGUAGGCGGCUUUUUAAGUCGGAUGUGAAAUCCCUGAGCUUAACUUAGGAAUUGCAUUCGAUACUGGGAAGCUAGAGUAUGGGAGAGGAUGGUAGAAUUCCAGGUGUAGCGGUGAAAUGCGUAGAGAUCUGGAGGAAUACCGAUGGCGAAGGCAGCCAUCUGGCCUAAUACUGACGCUGAGGUACGAAAGCAUGGGGAGCAAACAGGAUUAGAUACCCCAGUAGUCCCUGUCUCUUAUAC
rnacentral:rRNA from 1 species